AUAUUGUAACGAGGGUCGUUACAAUAUUGAUGUUCAGUAUAUAUAUUCCUGUUUGAUAUGCAUGCAUAUACACUGAGUGUACAAAACACUAAGAACACCUUUGUCAUAUUGAGUUGCCCUCAUUGAAGGACUUUUAUUUUAAAAACGAACAGCAAAUUCCCCUAUUGUGGCUAGCUUCACACAGGUGCUAGCUAGCACUAUCACCUUCAAACUACUUAGCACGUUCACAUACUUGUCAUUGUAUAAAGAAAGAGACGACCAUGGCGAAUUGUGACUAUUUACAAACUCAGCUAACAUCUGUUUUGAACUCGCUUGUUAAAAUUGCGGUCGUGGAACUACUGCGAAUUGUAGAGGAUAGCGCCGUUGAACUUCGUCUGGAGGUGUCCAAGAGUAAAUUUGAGAACGAAGCACUGAAAAUUGAGAACGAAUCUAACAAAAAUAAGUUACAGAGUUUGGAAGCAGAACUGUGGACAGCGGGAAAUCGACCAUGUUCCUUAUGUUAUCGUUGUGUUGGUAUUCCAGCUCGCGGUAAAGGUGGAUGCGUCAGUCCCAAAAGAGAUAAUGAUGCUGCUGGUCCUCCUAAUUCUUCAGAGGAGGACAAUGCAUCAUCAUGGCUGCAACAAUCUGCUCAUACCAUGGAAGAGACUACAGCAGCCAUGGAGAGGGAUGGGAUUCAAAUCGUUGUCAUUAAGAACGAAGCUGGGCAUGAAGGCACACAUCGGAAGAAGGACACACAGGCUGGAAUUUCAACAGAAGGUGAGCAGGCUUGUCCCAAAGUGGACAUGGUGUAUGGCAAGGAGUGGAGCCAAAGCUUGUGGCGAGACAGAGAUGCUGUCAAGGAGGACUCUGCAGGACCAUCGGUGACCCAUCGACAGGUCAAGACUGUUUCGGCUCAGAAAAGGUGGAGUGUUUGUGUGAAGAAGUCGGUCAUAGAAGAUGAACCUGCUGACUCAUCAGAUGCUGGUACCCAGCACCAGAACACCACCGAAUCCUUUGAUGUGGAGAAAAGUUGUGCAUUUGGAAGUUUUGAACCAGAAAGUUGUUUGAACUUUGAAGAAAACCACUUCUUGACUUCACCAGUCAACAUCAUGGUCCCGAAAUGUGUGAAGCUACCAGGUGCAGCAGCUGUCAUGGACACCCAAUUAGACAAGUCCAUGGACAUUGGCAACAUGAACAACUCCGGAAGAAAGAAGAGAGGGAGAAAAAAUGGCCCUUGUAAAGGCAAUGUAAAUUACUGUUUUGUAUGUGGAGAGCCCCAAUCGAAGAUCUCCCGCCACUUGAAACAGCACGAGAAGGAAAAUGCUGAAAUUGCUUAUGUCUUAAGUCUUGACAUAGCUUCAAGACAGCGGAAAGUGUUGCUGGAGAAACUGAGGAACAAGGGAAAUUUCCAACACAACACUAACGUCGUAAAUAAGGGAUCCGGGUGUCUCAAAGUAAAAAGGAAACCCAAACCGAAUAGUGGCGCGAAGAGAUUUGAACCUUGUCUUUACUGUAAAGGUAUGUUCAUUUGGCAAGAUGUGCGGAGGCACAUGGGAAGAUGCCCUUGUAGACCUGAGGGUGGAGAUAAAAACCAAGAGCAUCAUUAUGGCAAGAAGAGGUUCCUACAGAGCUGCUACACUGGACGAGUGAGCAGCAUGUUUAAUAAAAUCGAUGUGCAGCUCACGCCUGACGGGGGGGAUUAACUAGCACUUGUAUUUUGCCUCGCCACGCUGGCUUCGCCCUCGAGUGGGUGCUAGCAAGCAUGCUAGGCAUCAACAGCCAAUCCAUUAGGGUCUAGAAGCUAUAGUGAGCUUCAAUUGGUCAAUCGCGCUGCGUAAUCAAUCAAUCAAAUGUAUUUAUUAAGCUCAUUUUAUACAUCAGCAGAUGUCACAAAGUGCCAACACAGAAACCCUACCUAAAACCCAAAAUAGCAAGCAAUGCAGAAGCACGGUGGCUAGGAAAAACUCCCUAGAAAGGUUGGAACCUAGGAAGAAACCUAGGAAGAAACCUAAAGGAACCAGGCUCUGAGGGGUGGCCAGUCCUCUUUUGUCUGUGCCGGGUGGCAAUUAUAACAGUACAUAGUCAUUAAGGCCAGAUUGUUCUCCAAAGUGUUCAAAUGUUCAUAGAUGACCAGCAGGGUCAGAUAAUAAUCACAGUGGUUAUAGAGGGUGCAACAGGUCAAUAUUAAGAGUAAAUGCCACUUGACUUUUCAUAGCUGGGCAUUCAGAGGUCGAAAUAGCAGGUGUGGUAGAGAGAGGGAGGGUUGAAAACAGGAGGUCUGGGACAAGGUAGCACGUCCGGUGAACAGCUCAGGGUUCCAUAGCCGCAGGCAGAACAGUUGAAACUGGAGCAGCAGCACGUCCAGGUGGACUGGGGACAGCAAGGAGUCAUCAGGCCAGGUAGUCCUGAGGCAUGGUCCUAGGGCUCAGGUUCUCCGGGAGGGGAAGGAGAGGGAGAAUUAGAGGGAGCAUACUUAAAUUCACACAAGACAAGAGAAUAACACCAGAUAUAACAGACUGACCCUAGCCUCCCGGCACAUAGAGUAUUGCAGCAUAGAUACUGGAGGCUGAGACGGGGUCGGGAGACACUGUGGCCCUGUCUGACGAUACCCCCAGACAGGGCCAACCAGGCAGGAUAUAACCCCACCCACUUUGCCAAAGCACAGCCCCCACACCACUAGAGGGAUAUCUUCAACCACCAACUUACUAUCCUGAGACAAGGCAGAGUAUAGCCCACAAAGAUCUCCACCGCACGAGCCCGAGGAGACGACAAACGGGACAGGAAGAUCACGUCAGUGACUCAACCCACCUAUGGAUGGCAUGGAAGAGCACUAUUAAGCCAGUGACUCAGCCCCUGUAAUAGGGUCAGAGGCAGAGAAUCCCAAUGGAGAGGGGAACGGGCCAGACUACACUCAAUCAUAGGACCUACUGAAGAGAUGAGUUUUCAAUAAAGACAAAGGUCGAGACCGGGUCUGCGUUUCACAUGGAUAGGUAGACCAUUCCAUAAAAAUGUAUCUCAAUAGGAGAAAGCCCUGUCUCCAGCUGUUUGCUUAGAAAUCCUAGGGACAAUAAGAAGGACUGCGUCAUGUGACCAUAGCAUAUGUGUAGGUAUGUACGGCAGGACCAAACCUUGAAAUCAGCAUUAGCCUGAGUAUUCGAAGAGUUUUUGCAUAAAGUUCAGCUUUCCGCAAAUAAGGUCCCGCUCUGUUCACGCUCACAUUGCCCAACGCUCCCUCCCCAAUUUCACUUCUCUUCCACUGAAAAUGAAUGGCUUUCCGUAGUUUAAUCGUCCACAUCGUCUUUAGUUGAAAGGUACCGUGAGAGCGUUUGAUAAAGUGGCUCAGGCUUUCUCCAGGAUACAUUCUGUAGCAGCUAAAUGCCUACAAUGACGGCCUGCUUUCGUUACGACAACGCUACGCCCCCAGUUAUAGCACUCAAAUCGCUAAACUCAUAAACCAGGUUGCAACCAUAAUGUGUAAUACUCUAUAAAUGAUCCCAACAGUGUUCAGAGUGGACUGUCAGAUUUGUUUCUUCUUCUGUUUAAAAAAAAAAGAAUUUCCUGAUUUAGCCUCGGUUUAAAUUCUCCUCUUUAGGAAAUGCGACAGAACGAGGUUUGGGAUUCGGAGGUGUGCUUUGGUGUGUGUGUGUUUGAACAUGGGAAGUGUUUGUACUUUCACCCUGCAAAAACAUUACAGUCACUCACCUUUCUAGAUAACGUGAAACCGGGUAACCAGGUGUUGUCUUGAAGUAGCUUAGACUAGCUAGCAAGCUUUCCAACUUCUUUCGCCAAUUAGCUUCAGCCGGCAGGUGUGCGACCGUGGCAGUUGGUUUGAAUUUGGUUAGCCUACCUGUGAGGCUAGCAGGAGUUUAAGUUCUCAGUCACUGCUGGUUUGGAGAUGACAUAGCCUAAUACAGACAGAAGCAUGUCUGUUCUACAAAAUGUAUUCCCAAAUAAACGUAUUCUCAAAUAUUUAAUUUUCUCUGUUACGCUGUGUGCACUGAACUGACAUGCAUGGUGGUUGAUGACACUGAUGUUCAGAUGAAGGGAAUUAAAUAGUCUAUAAUGUGCACCAAAGCAGCGCUUAACUCAAACAGCGGUGUGUAGCCUACCGUAGCUGGUAAUUCAAAGCUUAUACUUUAUCACUCAUUAUGCAACUUUCCAGUGCUACUAUUUUUGCCAAGUAAUGUUAUAAACUUAAAUCAGACAGCCCAAUAGUAGAAUAGUUGACCUAUUUACCUAGUUGGCUUGUGUGUUCUGUAUGCAAGAUAAAUAUUCCACUCGAGCACAGUAGGUUGGUGGCACCUUAAUUGGGGAGGAUGGGCUCGUAGUAAUGGCUGGAGCGGAAUAGGUGGAAUGGUAUCAAAUACAUCAAACAUAUGGUUUCCAUGUGUUUGAUGCCGUUCCAGCCAUUAUCAUGAGCUAUCCUCCCCUUAGCAGCCUCCUGUGCUCUCAAGAUGCAUUCAAGUUACUAGAGCCAUAGGAGGGGAAAGUAUUCUGACAAGCCAAUGCACAAAAGUUCUAUAUGCAAUCGCAGGAAAACACUUUUGGCCUUUGUUGCUAAAACAUGUUUAAUUCACACAAACUUACUCUGAAAGCUUCAGUAUUGAUUAUUUUAAACGCAGGAACAUGUUAAUUUGCUUUCAUGAGUUUAUUCUCUCACUGCCCUGAGUUUAAGACUAGCGUUUUGCUAUCUUGGAAUUAAGAACAUUUCCAAUAAUUUUAUUUUCAAGAAUCUAAUUUCUUAACUUUUUGCUUAGUGCAAUACAUUUUUCAGCAACUUUUUUGAGGAAUACCAACUUUGCUAAAUUUUCUUCUUAAGUCUAUAGUUAAGGAAAAAAAUGGUAGUUAAGAAGAAAUGUCUUAUGAAGGUUUUGUGAAUCUGGGCCCUUGACUUAAUCCACAUUUUGUUACGUUACAGCCUUAUUCUAAAAUUGAUGGGAAAAAAACUCAAUUUAAUCUGUCUACACACAAUACCCCCAUAAUGACAAAGCAAAAACAGGUUUUUAGAAAUUUUUGCAAAUGUAUAACAAACUGAAAUAUCAAAUUUACAUCAGUAUUCAAACCCUUUGCUAUGAGACUUGAAAUUGAGCUCAGGUGCAUCCUGUUUCCAUUGAUCAUCAUUGAGCUGUUUCUACAGUUGACAGUGCAUGUCAGAGCUAAAACCAAGCCAUGCUGUUCCUAGGCUGUCAUUGUAAAUAGGAAUUUGUUAUUAACUGACUUGCCUAGUUAAAAUAAUGGUUAAAUAAAAAAUAAAUGAUGUCGAAGGAAUUGUCCAUAGGCCUCCGAGACAGGAUUAUGUCGGCAGAGAUCUGGGGAAGGGUACCAAAAAAUGGCAAUGGAGUAGAAUGUCCUUUUUACAAGUAAUCAGAACUGAGCUUCCCAGUUCAUCUACAUAAAAAAUAUCCCGGGGAGGACCCGUACCCUCUAAGGGGACUGGAAUUGGUGAAAGUCGCAGUUUAACACACAUACGAAAUGAACCUCUUUCCCUAAAGUAUGAAGGGGGAGGUUAACUUGGCCCCAGACAAUCGAUAUAAGAUCGACUUUAAGUUUCAGUCAUAUUUUUUUGUUGCUUUAACCAGAGUUAGGUACCGUCAAUACAUUACACAAUGUAAAUGGGACAAUAUUUUCAUGUUGCACACCUUUUAGUUGUCUAAUUUAAAAGCGUUCAAUAUUUGAAUAUGCAUUUUUACAAUUUAUAGUUGGUUUGAAGUUGUCAUUGAAAUUUUGAGCUACUGACAUUUUACAAUAUUGUCCCAUGUACAUUGUGUAAUUUGCUGAUGGUUCUUAACUAGCCCCAUGGGGGAUAUCGAAUAGCACAACAAAUUGACAAUGGGCAUUAAGCGUCUAUCAUAGUCCAAAACGUGUAUGCGUACACACUGCAGUGUUGUCGAAUAAUGGACCGUUGACUUUCAUAAUUUUUUAAUUCUCGGCACAGCUCAAACAGUAUCUCUACCUUUCAACACGUUCAAAUUAGUAGAGAACGCAUACCGGAAUUGUGGGGAGGUGGCGUUCAGUGUUUCAGAGCAGUGUAUCUAUGUCACAAUGGGAUGCCGGACUAUCGCGUCUCAGCGUCUAGACUAGGAUUUGGUAUCGGGUCGCGUACAGCAGCACUCCGAAUGUAUGAUUUACUUGGAUGCUGCCAGUUGUGGGCAGGUUUGAAAUAAACCCAAGUCAAUGGAAAUUUAUGGUAUUAUUUAUUCUGUGACUUUUUUUUCUCCUAAUCUCGCAAAGCUCCGUUUUGGACAAGACUUUAUGACUGAAAUGAUCGUAUUUACACUUUGUAGUCAAUUUUCACACUAGAAUCCAUGUUUGACUCAUAUCGAGGUUUAUGUGUGGUGUUGUUUUAAAUGCUCCCCCAUUUCUACUGGUAUUAGAAAUAGUUGAUUAGUAUUGAGAUUACAGUAGAGGCACAUUGAGAUAAAUUAUAUUUCUAAGACAUCAUUUAAGAGACAUUUGUAGCACAUUAAGUAAACAUAAUAUUUUGACUAGUGACAUUUGACUAGUGACAGUUGCUUGUUGUGUAGUUGAAUUGAUGGCAAUUACAUUUGAAAUCAAUCUCAAAUUAAAUUAAUUAAAUUCGAAAUGAAUUUUGUAUUUGCACAACACGAUACUUAUUGUAUGACCUCGUGAUAAAUCUCGUCAAUAGCUCCGCCCCAAAUAGGAAGUCAUGCACAACCAUUGUUCAACCAUUUGUUUUGCCAGGGAAAGGUAAACGUGGAGGAUACGAGUAGAUUUAGAUAAAGUCUAAACACUUGUUUUAUAAACAAAGCUAAAGAUUUACUAGCAUAUGACAAUGGAGAAUGCUGCCCACCUUCAAAGUCAGCUAACCUCUCUCAUGAACGCGGUAAUGAGGGCAGCGGUCGUGGAAAUAGUCCGACUUGUAGAUGGCAGCGCCGUGGCCCUUCGCGAAGAGUUGUCCAAGAGUAAACGGGAGAACGAAGCACUGAAAGCCGAGAAUGAGUCGAAUAAAAAUAAGAUGCAAAAUUUGGAAGCAAAACUAGCUGCGGAGCAGCGUUCUGUCGGUUGUCAUGUAGCCGAAGCUGGUGGCGAUCAAUUUUUCCAAACAAAGGAAGAUGUUAAGGCUUGUGCAGAGAAGACCCGUGCAAGGCUGCAAUCUUUGAAGCCAGCAGGCCAAUCCGAGGCUACAGCUUUCAAUAAAGGGGAAGGCCUAAAAGUUGUUGCCAUGGAGAAGGAUGGAAUAAAAGUACUUCGCAUAAAGAAGGAAAUAAAUGAAGGCACAGAACAUGACACACCAUGUCCAAUGACAGGUGAGCAGCCGUGUCCCAAAGUGGACAUGGUGUAUGGCAAGGAGUGGAGCCAAAGCCUGUGGCGAGAUGGAAAAGAAAUAGACCAUAGCGACAGAACAGGGGAGAAAGAAACUCCAGGACCAUCAAUGACCCAGCAUCAGAACGGAGGUCCACUUCAGUGCAGUAAGCUGAAUCCAUCCACUCCUAUCUUCAAAGUCUUCUGUGAUCCUGAACGAGACACGUAUCCCGACUAAUGACUUAAGUGGGAAUUUCUGAAUUCUGUUCUCCUUGUCACUGACUGGUCAUGACAGAUAGACGGCAACGUUAAAAAUCCUUGUCUUUAUUUACUGUUUGGCCCACGGGACCUCCUAUAACACUGUCUCAGAGACUUUCGGAAUCCCUCUGUCCAAUGCUACCCGAACCCCCAACAAUGUCCAGGUGAACAGCCCCUCCCUACCAUCAACAGACGCCUGUGUGCCUCACACCAUAUCCAAAGUCUGAUCAGAACCCGGAGCACGACCAGUUUAACCAGCACCACGCCAGGGUUUUCUUCCCCCAUUGAGAGGACCUUUGACAUCAUGAGAAAGCGCUGGCACAUCUUCCUCAAGCUCCACCCAUUCUUCAUCCUGAAAGUGCUUGCAAUGUGCACCGUGCUGCAUAACAUCUGCCUCCGGUCCGGGGACGUGCUGGAGCCAGUAAAGAUUGAGGACAGAAACAAGGUUACUGAGGCUCUGAAGGAGUGGCUAGUGUCGAAUGAGACCAGUAGAGAGGCGUUGAGGGACAGUUUGGCUUAACUUCUCUAGGAUAGGUGGGACGGUAGCGUCCCACUUGGCCAAAAUCCAGAAAAAAAUGUAGCGCGGCAAAUUCAAAUAUAUUACUAUAAAAAUCAAUCACACAUGAAAGACACCAAAUUAAAGCUACACAUGUUGUGAAUCCAGCCAACAUGUCUGAUUUCAAAAAGGAUUUAUGGGGAAAGCACACCAAACAAUUAUGUUAGCUCAGAACAUAGCCACAGAAAAACAGCCAUUUUCCCAGCAAAAGAUAGUAGUAACAAAAACCAGAAAUAGAGAUAAAAUGAAUCACUAACCUUUGAAUAUCUUCAUCAGAUGACACUCGUAUGACAUCAUGUUACACAAUACAUUUAUGUUUUGUUUGAUAUUGUGCAUAUUUAUAUCCACAAAUCUCGGUUUACAUUGGCGCCAUGUUCAGAAAUGCCUCCAAAAUAUCCGGAGUAAUUACAGAGAGCCAAAUAACAGAAAUACUCAUCAUAAACUUUGAUGAAAGAUACAUGUUUUACAUAUAAUUAAAGAUACACUUGUUCCCAAUGCAACCGCUGUGUCAGAUUUAAAAAAAACUUUACGUAAAAAGCACACCAUGCAAUAAUCUGAGACGGCGCUCAGAUGUAACAACAUUUCUCCACCAUGUUGGAGUCAACAGAAAUACGAAAUUACAUCAUAAAUAUUCCCUUUGAUUAUCUUCAUCAGAAUGCAGUGCCAGGAAUCCUAGUUCCACAAUAAAUCGUUGUUUUGUUCGAUAAUAUCCAUUACUUAUGUCCAAUUAGCUAAUUUUGCUAGCAUGUGUAGUACACUUGUCCAAACGCUCGCGCAGAUACAGGCAAACGUCGGACGAAAACUUAAAGUUAUUUUCCAGGUCGAAUAAACUGGUCAAACUUAGUAGAGAAUCAAUCUUUAGGAUGUUGUUAUCAUUUAUAUCCAAUAAGGUUCCAACCGGAUAAUUCUUUUCAGUCUCUAUAAGUAAUGGAAUGCAAGACGAUAUAAUGAGGAAAGCGCGUGACCAAGAACUGGCAAUCUGCCAGACCACUGACUCUGUCCCAUCCGGUCCCACAACACAGCAUAAGCUUCAUUCCACGUUCUACUGACUGUUGACAUCUAGUGGAAGGUGUAUGAAGUGCAAACAGAAACAUAUAUUACAGGGAAUUGAAUAGGCGAUGACUUUAACAACGACCACUCUCAGGAAGUGAAAAUUCUGUUUGGAUUUUUUUUCUCAGGUUUUUGCCUGCCAUAUGAGUUCUGUUAUACUCAGACAUCAUUCAAACAGUUUUAGAAACUUCAGAGUGUUUUCUAUCCAAUAGUAAUAAUAAUAUGCAUAUAUUAGCUUGUGGGACAGAGUAGGAGGCAGUUCACUAUGGGCACGAAAUUCAUCCAAAAGUGAAAAUGCUGCCCCCUAUACCAAAGAAGUUAACAGAUCUCUACAAUGAAAUUAAUGGCCUCGGUGAAUGAUGUGCAAGGGAAAUCUGCACCGGCAAACAUGGCGGCAGUGCAACAAGAAUAGGCUUACGACAUAGUGGUGAUGGAAAUUGAUUACUUCAGGAGCCAAUAAGAGGUGGUGGAACUGUCACUGCCGACCUUUUACGUUUUUCCUGAAACAAUUUAGCAAAGUCACCUCUCCUAUUCUAAUGCUUUUAUACAGUACCAUGUAGAACAUCCACUUUAUUUCAAAUUAUAUAUAUUUUGUAUACUGUACAUGGUGAAGUGAAACACGAUUGUUAGUUUUUUUGGUAUGGUGUGAAUGUGGGACUGGUAUUCUAACUAUUAACUUGUUUAAAAAAAAAAGCCCUGGAUGUGGUAUGCAUUCAAGUCUUUGAUGAAGCCUUCUUCAUUGUGUCACCUAAAGGGACAUUUUAUCUUAGCGGAAAAUACAUGAAAAGUUCAUUAUGCCAGGCGUAUUUCAACCACUAAUGCAUUGUAUACCAGUGAUGAAACAGACCAAACCAUCCUUGUAUUCUUAUGUUGUUACUGAAUGCUUGAACCUUGUGUGGUGUUCGGGUCUGUGGGACCCAUUUUCAAUGUUUACUAAAAUGAAAAACCUGAGACUCA